GUGUAUGGCUUGGCCUGUCAGUGUGUCAGAUUCACCAACGUGAGAGUCUGUUGCCACCACCUCUCUCUGGUUUGUUCCUGCUACUUUAUUGCUCUUCUCUCUUCUCUCUUUCCUUUUUUUAUUUUUCAGAUCUGCUCCUGAAUUUCAGAUCUUCAUGUUCUGGUCCACUCUAAGCAGAAAGCCACAUAGUCUUUUGUGGCCUGCACUGAAAUUAUUCCUCUUUCUGGGUGUGACUUUGCUAAUCCAGUUUUGGCAAUUCGUGAUUUCUAUCUGUCAGCUUAAAUCAAAGGAUUACACGCGAAACUCCCCGGUGUAUUUUGCAGAAAGCUUCCUCCUUGUACCCAUUAAGUCGGAGAGAACUGGUUGUUCCAUCUGUCCGUUCUUUGUUCAGGACUUUUCUCUCUUCCUGCGUCAGCAUCAAGGGCGUCCACACAAGACAAAUUUCCAUUUGACUCUCCAGCAGUCCUCCCUCCCUCCC